rnacentral:rRNA from 1 species
AAUCAACGCUGGCGGCGUGCCUCAGACAUGCAAGUCGAACGAUUAAACUUUCCUUCGGGAAAGAUAUAAAGUGGCGCACGGGUGAGUAACACGUAGGUAAUGUACCUUUGGGUGGGAAUAACUUAGGAAACUUAAGCUAAUACCGCAUAAUGCAGCGGCUCCUUCGGGAGACAGUUGUUAAAGAUUUAUCGCCUAAAGAGCAGCCUGCGGCAGAUUAGCUAGUUGGUAAGGUAACGGCUACCAAGGCUACGAUCUGUAUCCGACCUGAGAGGGUGGUCGGACACACUGACACUGAAUAACGGGUCAGACUCCUACGGGAGGCAGCAGUCGGGAAUUUGGGUCAAUGGGCGAAAGCCUGACCCAGCAACGCCGCGUGAAGGAUGAAGUCUUUC